rnacentral:lncRNA from 1 species
AAUUCAUAGUCCAUGCUCAAGAUCGAAUGGCAUCUCUCAGACUGGAAAACCUUUCUGAAGUCAGUUCCAGACAUCCCUGGAAGCCUGGAUAAUUUGGGAAAAGGCUGACUCAAUGUAAGUUUGGCACCUUUCCAUGACAAGGAUCUCUACAGGACUCUGCCUGAGAUAGUUUGAGAAAUUUUAUACAUUCCUCCAAAGAGGAAGAAAUUAAAAUUGAGAGAGGUUAAUAAUUGUGCCCAAGGCUACACAGCUACUAAGCAAACCAGAUCUAUGCUCAAAGCCCAUGCAGGACUGUAACCACGGUGCAAGACCAAUCCUCCUGCUUGGAGAACUGAUCCAACUCCACACCUGUAUCUUCAGGUUGGACUCGCUUCUUCAACCCAUGUACAUGUCCAGUAUUCCCUCAUCAUUGACAAAUACCUUCCUUUGACUUUACUGAUUCUCUGACUACCACCUUUUCAAUGAAGAAAGACUUCCCUGGCCAGGUGCCAUCCCUCGGUGCUUCCACGGUUACUGACGCGUGUAUUCUCCACAGCAAUUACAACUGGAUCAAAAUC